GCCGCUAUAGCUCAGUGUCUGAGCGUUGGCUGUAACCAAAGGUCGCAAGUCUGAAUCUUGUUGGCGGCA
rnacentral:tRNA from 1 species